ensembl:lncRNA
CGCGCGGCUACUUUUUGCCGCCGGCCCUAAGCUGUCGGCUAUAGGUGCGUCCUGCUGGCGGAGAUGAAACGUUUGCCGCCGAAUACGUCACUCCCAUUUCUUGCGAGAUGCCUGACUGCUUCAUUUUCUCUAGCGGUUGCCUCGGUUUAAUGGACCGCGGUCGUCCGGCGGCAAGACGCUUUUAAAUACAAGGCUACUCUCAAAGUCGACCGGCCAUGUUGGUUUGGACACACAUUCGCAUCAGUUCGUCGCUCAAUCGCGAGUUACAGCCCGCAGUUUGCUAGCUAGCAAAGUCAUCGUCUACCAUCGUUUAAAUACCUUGGCCAGAGCAUAACCGGUUAUCUUCACCCAAGAAACCUACUGUUGGUCAAUCAUUUUGGCUUUAAAGGUAAAUGCAUUGUUAGUCACAAUGUCUAGUUACUGGGCCAAAAGGAAAAUAAUAUUGAAAAGAGUUGAGAGGGACAAACGGGACAUUCACUUGAAUCACUACAUGCUACAGAAGUUGCAUCGAUUCCAGAAAACCAGGAAAAUGUUGAGCCAUCUAGACUUCAGAGCAGAACCAGGUUUCUCCCCAGUAAUCCAGACUCCACUUCAGAGCCAAGAGUUUGAGUACAACUCGUCAAGUACUAAGCUUUACACCACCAGCAGCGAAUUUACCCUGGCAGCAUAUGGGUGAAAACGCUGGAGGAGAAAGUAAUCGCUUUGUUAUUGGCCCUUGGACGCCCCUGGCAUCUCGCGUACAGCACAAAGUUUUCAGCUAUGAAGGUAUAUUCUAGGCCUAUGUCUUAUUGUCCUGUGUUUUAACAGUAUUGAAAAUAUUGCCUUUAGUAGUUUUUUUUUUUUUGAUGUAGAUUUCCAGAGACUCCAGAAUGAAAACCAAGCUCUGAGGGAAUGCAAUGCAAUGCACAAACAGGUGAGAACGUGCACUCUUAAAUUUUAAUUUUUUGUGUGUAAUGUAGGUUCAGAAUUACCAUAUGCCUUUGAUUUUGUAGCUUCGAAUGACAGCGGCUCACUUCAAGAACAAGUGAUGCAAGUAGGGACAAUGUUGAAGACAUUUGCUCUCACUGGGCAAUCAGGUGCGUUACCUGAAAGGAGCAUCUGACCGUGAAGGCAGAAAAAGGUGCCGCACAGCUGAGAAGGACCCACAGCCGACCCCUUAAACCUAGGCUGACUACUGACACCCCAGCAUCACUGAACUGGAACACUUUCUUUAUCCUGCAGUCAGUAACAUCAAGAAGACAGAAGUGCCAGGCUACAAUCACCAAAUCCACCCUGUUUUCUUUUUGUAUUUUAACUUAAGUAUUGGCUUAUUUCAUUCCGUCUUAACGAUUCUAUUAUAGUUUGUAAAUCCUAUUUCAUACCUGUUACUUGAUAUUGCACAUUAACUAGUACCAAAAUUCUACUUUAAUUUCAUCAGUGUGCCUAACUGUUAUUCUAUUAAUACUAGUCUGGAAAUACUAUUUCAUACCUCUGAUACUUGAUAUUGCACAUUACCUGGUAACAAAUAUUCUACUUACUCUGUUUUUAACAUCAGCAUUUUUCAUUCCAUCACAGUGCUUAAGUGUUAUUCUAUUGUUAAAUAUAGCUUGUAAAUCCUUGUGCCACAGGUCAGCAUUGCAGUUGGUCUGUUCUACUACUGUUUUUACCUCCGUAUUUUUAUAUAAAUAUAUGUCAAGUUUUGUUUAUCACAGAUACAAGAGACACAGAUCUUAUUGCAGUACGGUGUAAAUCUUGUGCUUCAGGUCAGCAAUGCCAUUAUAAUGGUCUAUUCUACUCUAGAGCUUUACUCUAAAUUAUUACCACUUUUCCUAUUGUUAGAAAUGGCUUGAAAAUGUGAUGUUAUACCUCGAUUUAUUUGGUAUCCUGCACAUUCUUUGGUACCAAAUAUCCUCAUUACUUGUUAUGUUUACUGGUAAUUAUUUUCCUCUUAUUUGACCUCUUUAUAUUAUUAACAAUGAUUGUGUUUGUUAUAAUUUGCUUGUAUGGCAGUUUUUUUUUUGCCAAAAUUUAAUUGGAAACCUGCAUGUUCUGUAGGGUGUAUUUAUAUGUAUAUUUUUUUCUGCCUGUUAUUUUUUUCAGUGAUCUGACACAUCUUGUUUGAAUGACAGUUACUGUACUUUGAAAUGUGG